rnacentral:tRNA from 1 species
GUUUCUUUGGUGUAAAGGACAGCACGCAACACUACGAAUGUUGUAAUAAAGGUUCGAAUCCUUUAAGGAACA